rnacentral:rRNA from 1 species
GCGGUGGAGCAUGUGGUUUAAUUCGAAGCAACGCGCAGAACCUUACCAGCCCUUGACAUCCCGGUCGCGGAUCGCAGAGAUGCUUUCCUCAGUUUCGGCUGGACCGGUGACAGGUGCUGCAUGGCUGUCGUCAGCUCGUGUCGUGAGAUGUUGGGUUAAGUCCCGCAACGAGCGCAACCCCCGCCUUCAGUUGCCAACGGUUCGGCCGUGCACUCUGGAGGAACUGCCUGUGACAAGCAGGAGGAAGGUGGGGAUGACGUCAAGUCCUCAUGGCCCUUAUGGGCUGGGCUACACACGUGCUACAAUGGCGGUGACAGAGGGAUGCAAUACCGCGAGGUGGAGCAAAUCCCUAAAAGCCGUCUCAGUUCGGAUUGUUCUCUGCAACUCGAGAGCAUGAAGUUGGAAUCGCUAGUAAUCGCCGGUAUCCAGCCUCGCCGCGGUAGUAAAGUAACGUUCCCGGGCCGUU